rnacentral:rRNA from 1 species
UCGGGAAUUUUGGGCAAUGGGCGAAAGCCUGACCCAGCAACGCCGCGUGAAGGAUGAAGUAUUUCGGUAUGUAAACUUCGUAAGAAUAGGAAGAAUAAAUGACGGUACUAUUUGUAAGGUCCGGCUAACUACGUGCCAGCAGCCGCGGUAAUACGUAGGGACCAAGCGUUGUUCGGAUUUACUGGGCGUAAAGGGCGCGUAGGCGGCAAUUCAAGUCAUCUGUGAAAUCUCCGGGCUUAACUCGGAACGGUCAGAUGAUACUGCUUUGCUAGAGUGCAGAAGGGGCAAUCGGAAUUCUUGGUGUAGCGGUGAAAUGCGUAGAUAUCAUCAGGAACACCGGUGGCGAAAGCGGCUUACUGGGUCUCUUCUGACGCUGAGGCACGAAAGCUAGGGUAGCGAACGGGAUUAGAUACCCCCAUAGUCCCUGAGCGGGCUGGCAAGGCGCAU